UACGUAGGCAGCGAGCGUUGUUCGGAGUUACUGGGCGUAAAGAGUGCGUAGGCGGUUUUCCAAGUUUGGUGUGAAAUCUCCCGGCUUAACUGGGAGGGUGCGCCGAAUACUGAAUGACUAGAGUGCGGGAGAGGUGAGUGGAAUUCCUGGUGUAGCGGUGAAAUGCGUAGAUAUCAGGAGGAACACCGGUGGUGUAGACGGCUCACUGGACCGUAACUGACGCUGAGACACGAAAGCGUGGGUAGCAAACAGG
rnacentral:rRNA from 1 species